rnacentral:rRNA from 1 species
UACGUAGGGGGCGAGCGUUGUCCGGAUUCAUUGGGCGUAAAGCGCGCGUAGGCGGCUCGACAAGUCGGCCGUGAAAUCUCCAGGCUCAACUUGGAGGGGUCGGGCGAGACUGUCGGGCUCGAGGUGGGCAGAGGGCAGUGGAAUUCCGGGUGUAGUGGUGGAAUGCGUAGAGAUCCGGAGGAACACCAGUGGCGAAGGCGGCUGCCUGGGCCUGGCCUGACGCUGAGACACGAAAGCGUGGGGAGCAAACAGGG